CACACAACAGAAUAUAGCCGCAUUGCUGAUGGGUCUUGAAUAUCUAAUAAACAUCUCAUAUAUGGAUGACACUGAAGUUUUUAAGAUCAUGAGGGAGAUAAUAUUUGUCACACCUUGAGCAUUGGAACAACUUAAACACCUUAUGCUGGGCAAUAGGGUCCAUAUCUGGUUCCAUGAUGGAAGAACAAGAUGGGGAAACAUUGGACAAUGAGUUGGAGGUUGUUGAGGGAAUGAAGCUAGACAGGGGUUACAUAUCCCCUUAUUUCAUCACCAACCAGAACAAUCAGAAAUGUGAAUUGGAAAAUCCUCUAAUCAUAAUCCACGAGAAGAAAAUCUCAAGUAUUAAUGUUGUGGUUAAAGUAUUGGAGUUGGUUUUGCAG